rnacentral:rRNA from 1 species
UAUACAUGCAGUCGAGCGGACAGAAGGGAGCUUGCUCCCGGAUGUUAGCGGCGGACGCGUGAGUAACACGUGGGUAACCUGCCUGUAAGACUGGGAUAACUCCGGGAAACCGGAGCUAAUACCGGAUAGUUCCUUGAACCGCAUGGUUCAAGGAUGAAAGACGGUUUCGGCUGUCACUUACAGAUGGACCCGCGGCGCAUUAGCUAGUUGGUGGGGUAAUGGCUCACCAAGGCGACGAUGCGUAGCCGACCUGAGAGGGUGAUCGGCCACACUGGGACUGAGACACGGCCCAGACUCCUACGGGAGGCAGCAGUAGGGAAUCUUCCGCAAUGGACGAAAGUCUGACGGAGCAACGCCGCGUGAGUGAUGAAGGUUUUCGGAUCGUAAAGCUCUGUUGUUAGGGAAGAACAAGUGCGAGAGUAACUGCUCGCACCUUGACGGUACCUAACCAGAAAGCCACGGCUAACUACGUGCCAGCAGCCGCGGUAAUACGUAGGUGGCAAGCGUUGUCCGGAAUUAUUGGGCGUAAAGGGCUCGCAGGCGGUUUCUUAAGUCUGAUGUGAAAGCCCCCGGCUCAACCGGGGAGGGUCAUUGGAAA